rnacentral:rRNA from 1 species
AACGCUAGCUACAGGCUUAACACAUGCAAGUCGAGGGGCAGCAUGGAACUUCUCUUGCUAAGUUUCGAUGGCGACCGGCGCACGGGUGAGUAACACGUAUCCAACCUACCGUUUACUACGGGAUAUCCUUAUGAAAAGGAGAUUAAUACCGUAUGGUAUUCUAAAGUUUCAUGACAUUAGAAUUAAAGGUUUACCGGUAAUCGAUGGGGAUGCGUUCCAUUAGAUAGUAGGCGGGGUAACGGCCCACCUAGUCAGCGAUGGAUAGGGGUUCUGAGAGGAAGGUCCCCCACAUUGGAACUGAGACACGGUCCAAACUCCUACGGGAGGCAGCAGUGAGGAAUAUUGGUUAUUUGACGAGAGUCUGAACCAGCCAAGUAGCGUGAAGGAUGACUGCCCUAUGGGUUGUAAACUUCUUUUAUAAAGGAAUAAAGUGGUCCACGUGUGGAUUUUUGUAUGUACUUUAUGAAUAUUGAUCGGCUAACUCCGUGCCAGCAGCCGCGGUAAUACGGAGGAUCCAAGCGUUAUCCGGAUUUAUUGGGUUUAAAGGGAGCGUAGAUGGAUUUUUAAGUCAGUUGUGAAAGUUCGGGGCUCAACCCCGUAAUUGCAGUUGAUACUGGAUAUCUUGAGUACAGUUGAGGUAGGCGGAAUUCGUGGUGUAGCGGUGAAAUGCUUAGAUAUCACGAAGAACUCCGAUUG